rnacentral:rRNA from 1 species
UAAUACGGAGGGGGCAAGCGUUGUUCGGAAUUACUGGGCGUAAAGGGCGCGCAGGCUGUUUCGUUAGUCAGGCGUGAAAUCUCCGGGCUCAACCCGGGAACUGCGUUUGGUACUGCGGAACUAGAGAUCGGGAGAGGGUAGUGGAAUUCCCAGUGUAGAGGUGAAAUUCGUAGAUAUUGGGAAGAACACCAGUGGCGAAGGCGGCUACCUGGACCGAUACUGACGCUGAGGCGCGAAAGCGUGGGGAGCAAACAGGAUUAGAUACCCUGGUAGUCCACGCCGUAAACGAUGUGUGCUAGACGUCGGGGGUUACGCCUUCGGUGUCGCAGCUAACGCAUUAAGCACACCGCCUGGGGAGUACGGCCGCAAGGUUA